rnacentral:rRNA from 1 species
AUGGCGGACCUAAGGAACAAGUUUGCUCAACCGAAUGAAGACACACCUUUUGGACGACACUUGAAGGAAGCCACUAGAUACCUGAACAUCGGAAUACCAGGCUUCACCGGGACCUACAACGCCACUUUACCAGAGGAGGAGCAUUGGAUGAUUCAAGUUCAUGUUCCAAGAAGGACAUUCAGGCGAGUUACUGAGCCCAUAGAGUUUUCCUUUGAUGCACCAACCUGGAGUCUAGGAAAGAGCAUGGUAGCCCACAUCACCAUGGGACGCAUCGGCGAGGUAUAUCACAAGGAUCUUAAGGACACCAUCUACCAGAUAUGCGGACGCCGAGAUGAGCAAUAG